CCUACGGGAGGCAGCAGUGGGGGAUAUUGUACAAUGGGGGAAACCCUGAUGCAGCGACGCCGCGUGUGGGAAGACGGUCUUCUGGAUUGUAAACCACUGUCCCCAGGGACGAAAAUGAUGGUACCUGGGGAGGAAGCUCCGGCUAACUACGUGCCAGCAGCCGCGGUAAUACGUAGGGAGCAAGCGUUGUCCGGAAUUACUGGGUGUAAAGGGAGCGUAGGCGGGGAUGCAAGUUGGGUGUCAAAACUACCGGCUCAACCGAUAGUCGCACUCAAAACUGCAACUCUUGAGUGAAGUAGAGGCAUGCGGAAUGCGUAGUGUAGCGGUGAAAUGCGUAGAUAUUAGGAGGAACACCAGUGGCGAAGGCGGCCUGCUGGGCUUUUACUGACGCUGAGGCUCGAAAGUGUGGGGAGCAAACAGGAUUAGAUACCCGAGUAGUC
rnacentral:rRNA from 1 species